GAAUUCCUCUGGUAACGGGCAAUUUGUUUAAUUUUUCUGUUCCCUGAUACCUAGUGCGAGGCAAGAACUCACACCCAGUUCAAACGUGAGGAGGCUUCAGAAGAGCAGACCCCUCUUGACUGUGCAGGGACCGAGGUGCCAAGUGGGGCAGAACAGGGACCCAGGGCAGCAGAGCUGAAGAGUCCACAAUGGAAAGGCUUUCUCUCCUCCUCAGCUUCCUCAGUGAUGUGCACAGUGAUGGAUGCAUUUCUGUGAAGAAGACGAAUAUUUCUUUGGAUGAAAGCAAAAAUGCAUCUCUUUUUUGCUCACUUUAAUGGGUUGUCAAUUCCCAGAACAUUUGAAGAAUCCAAGAGACAGUUUGGAAAAGGUGGUAAGGGUUAAAUAAGUAAGGUGAUCAUGAUGACAACCAGUUCAGUCCCGGCAUAGCAAACGUCAAUGAGGAAGCAAUGGUUGACUUUGGUAAGUAGAUUUCUG
rnacentral:lncRNA from 1 species